AACGAACGCUGGCGGCAUGCCUAACACAUGCAAGUCGAACGAGACCUUCGGGUCUAGUGGCGCACGGGUGCGUAACGCGUGGGAACCUGCCCUUAGGUUCGGAAUAACUCCCCGAAAGGGGUGCUAAUACCGGAUAAUGUCUUCGGACCAAAGAUUUAUCGCCUUUGGAUGGGCCCGCGUUGGAUUAGCUCGUUGGUAGGGUAAAAGCCUACCACGCCGACGAUCCAUAGCUGGUCUGAGAGGAGGAUCAGCCACACUGGGACUGAGACACGGCCCAGACUCCUACGGGAGGGAGGAGUGGGGAAUAGUGGACAAUGGGGGAAAGCCUGAUGCAGCAAUGCCGGGUGAGUGAUGAAGGCCGUAGGGUUGUAAAGCUCUUUUACCCGGGAUGAUAAUGACAGUACCGGGAGAAUAAGCGCCGGCUAACUCCGUG
rnacentral:rRNA from 1 species